ACUCCUACGAGAGGCAGCAGUGGGGAAUAUUGCACAAUGGGCGCAAGCCUGAUGCAGCCAUGCCGCGUGUAUGAAGAAGGCCUUCGGGUUGUAAAGUACUUUCAGCGGGGAGGAAGGCAAUACGGUUAAUAACCGUGUUGAUUGACGUUACCCGCAGAAGAAGCACCGGCUAACUCCGUGCCAGCAGCCGCGGUAAUACGGAGGGUGCAAGCGUUAAUCGGAAUUACUGGGCGUAAAGCGCACGCAGGCGGUCUGUCAAGUCGGAUGUGAAAUCCCCGGGCUCAACCUGGGAACUGCAUUCGAAACUGGCAGGCUUGAGUCUUGUAGAGGGGGGUAGAAUUCCAGGUGUAGCGGUGAAAUGCGUAGAGAUCUGGAGGAAUACCGGUGGCGAAGGCGGCCCCCUGGACAAAGACUGACGCUCAGGUGCGAAAGCGUGGGGAGCAAACAGGAUUAGAAACCCCGGUAGUCC
rnacentral:rRNA from 1 species